AACGAACGCUGGCGGCAUGCCUAACACAUGCAAGUCGAACGAGACCUUCGGGUCUAGUGGCGCACGGGUGCGUAACGCGUGGGAACCUGCCCUUAGGUUCGGAAUAACUCCCCGAAAGGGGUGCUAAUACCGGAUAAUGUCUUCGGACCAAAGAUUUAUCGCCUUUGGAUGGGCCCGCGUUGGAUUAGCUAGUUGGUAGGGUAAAAGCCUACCAAGGCGCCGAUCCAUAGCUGGUCUGAGAGGAUGAUCAGCCACACUGGGACUGAGACACGGCCCAGACUCCUACGGGAGGCGGCAGUGGGGGAUAUUGGACAAUGGGCGAAAGCCUGAUCCAGCAAUGCCGCGUGAGUGAUGAAGGCCUUAGGGUUGUAAAGCUCUUUUACCCGGGAUGAUAAUGACAGUACCGGGAGAAUAAGCUCCGGCUAACUCCGUG
rnacentral:rRNA from 1 species